GGCCAGUUAGCUCAGUGGGUUGAGUGUGAUGCUAAUAACGCCGAGAUUGCGGGUUCGAUUCUUGUUCAGUCCA
rnacentral:tRNA from 1 species